AACACAUCCACACACAGCCCUAGUUUUAGUGCAUUGAUGGGACAAGUAGCAGGCGGAGGGACGAGACCUGGUCCUCCACCGCAACCACCACAGCCAGGUCCACCACCCCCACCUCCUGGAGAUCCACCUCCGCCACCACCACUACCAGGUGAUCCACCACCACCAUGUCCACCUCCGCCACUACCAGGCGAUCCACCACCUCCGCCACUACCAGGUGAUCCACCACCGCCAUGUCCACCUCCACCACUGCCCGGUGAUCCACCACCUCCACCGUGUCCACCUCCACCACUGCCAGGUGAUCCACCACCUCCACCGUGUCCACCACCACCAUGUCCACCUCCACCACUGCCAGGUGAUCCACCACCUCCUCCGUGUCCACCACCACCAUGUCCACCUCCACCACUGCCAGGUGAUCCACCACCUCCACCACUACCAGGCGAUCCACCACCUCCACCACUACCAGGCGAUCCACCACCUCCACCACUACCAGGCGAUCCACCAUGUCCACCUCCGCCACUACCAGGUGAUCCACCACCACCACCUCCCCCGCCACUUCCUGGAGGGCUUGUGUAAGGUGGAUAGCUGGAUGAAGGCGGUGGUAUUGUUCCAGG
rnacentral:lncRNA from 1 species